CGGGAAACCGGAGCUAAUACCGGAUAAUAUAUUGAACCGCAUGGUUCAAUAGUGAAAGACGGUUUUGCUGUCACUUAUAGAUGGAUCCGCGCCGCAUUAGCUAGUUGGUAAGGUAACGGCUUGCCAAGGCAACGAUGCGUAGCCGACCUGAGAGGGUGAUCGGCCACACUGGAACUGAGACACGGUCCAG
rnacentral:rRNA from 1 species